UACGUAGGGUGCGAGCGUUAAUCGGAAUUACUGGGCGUAAAGCGUGCGCAGGCGGUUUUGUAAGCCAGAUGUGAAAUCCCCCGGGCUUAACCUGGGAAUGGCAUUUGGGACUGCAAAGCUUGAGUGCGGCAGAGGGGACUGGAAUUCCUGGUGUAGCAGUGAAAUUCGUAGAUAUUCGCAAGAACACCAGUGGCGAAGGCGGCUCACUGGCCCGAUACUGACGCUGAUGCACGAAAGCGUGGGGAGCAAACAGG
rnacentral:rRNA from 1 species